GCACUGUUUUGUACUAGUGAUGUGCAUUCCAAAUAGAAAUUGAAGUGCAACGGAACAAAAUGGAGUAAAGCAAGUUAGUUCUCUCAAAAUAGACCCAGGGGACCAAGUUGAUUGCACCAAAACAGUCUCAGUGAAAUUAGUUUUUAUUGUGCAUGUACUUGAUGUACAUACGUGAUCUUCUUGUGUUGACCCCCAAGAGAAAAA